AAAAUAUACACAUAAUUGCUAUUGGUUAUCUCUGGGUGGUGCAAGCAUGGGGGAAUUUUUUAUUUUGCUUUUGUUCAUAUUUUCUAAAUCUAUAAUCAACAUCUAUGUGGUAAGAAGAAAAGCAUGUGUUUUUGCUGAGCCCUGUGCACCUCGUCAGUAGCGAGUGAGUGGUGGUCACCAUCUGGGAGCAUUUAUUCCCAUCAUUCCGUGUUCUUCCUUCCUCAUCCACGCAUGCUAGUUAGCCUUGGUCAUAGGGGUUGAGGUAGUGGGUACUUUGUGACCAUCCCUAGUUUCCACAGUAAGAAUAUAAGCUUUCUAACCAAAAUUAUAUUCUGUCUGUUUUUUCAUCAAGGUGGAUCCAACCGAAGAGAAAGGGGUGCCCCACCCCUCCCUCCCAUCCCGAGGUGAUCCUUGCCUGCUCUUCUCUCUCCAGACUCCAGAGCACCUUCUCUUGUUUGCUGUCUGAGAAUUACACACCUUCCUCCCCUGUCCCUUGUCCUCUUCAUUUAUGGCAAGAAGGAAAAAGAGAGGGUGAGGGGAAUUUCUGUGUGAGGAGGGUGAGGAUCCAGUAGAGAAAUGCACCUAGCUUUUUAUAUCCUGUAUAUUUUCACAGCUUUCGCUUGCUUCAGCUACAGCCUGCUCGUGCUGGCUUUGAGAUCCAUAGCCUUUUGUGCAGAUAGGCAGAGAUGCAUUGUAUCCCUGCCCUCAACCCAACCUUCACUGCAUUUGCUACAGGCUAUAAUUAUGAAAGCCCCCGAGAACUGUUAUCGCCUAUGCUUUUUUCGAAUGCUUGGCCUCCUGUGAGUCUGUGUUCAGGAACCCAGACCACUGAGAUAAGUUGCCGAGCAAGGGCUCACACAAAGCUUUUGCAGUUACAGGAUGCCCGGUCGUGGGCAUUCUGAGGUAGGCUGGAGGACAGAGCUGUCCAAUAGAAAUAUAAUGUGAGCCCUGUAUACAGUUUUAAAAUUUCUACUAGGCACAUUUUUGUAAAGGUAAAAAGAAACAGGAGAAAUUAAUUUUAAUAUAUUUCACUUAUACCUACACAUCCAAAAUAUCAUUUCAACCUCUAAUCCAUAUAAGAAUUAUUAAUGAGAUAUUUUACAUUCUUUUUGGUACUAAGUGCUCCAGACCCAGGGUGUUUCUGUACUUAGAGCACAUUUCCAUUUGGACUAAUUACAUGACAAGUGGUCAGUGGCCACAUGUGCUGAGUGGCCACUCUCUUGGACAGCACAGGUCGGGAAGAUGGAAGUUAGUUCAAAAACCUCUUGUUUAAAAAGCAAAAAUAGCUAAAUGAGCUUUAGCAAUUCAAGACAUACCUAAAAAUAAAGUUAGGACCCAACACUUUAUUUGGCAGGCAGCUUGACCCUAGAUUUUGGUCCCUUCCUUUUCCUCUUCCCUUCAUGUCUGUGUACAAGUGUUGCUUCACAGUAUCAAGGUCAGAAAUGGAUCUUAUACGGUUUACAGUGACAUGGAAUAAAGCCAUCAGAAAGAAACUGAAAGCCAGUUGGGGCUUCCAGGCUCAGCACCAGCUGCCUUGUGCAUUCACUUGUCAGUCAGAUGCCUGCCUUGCAGAUUUGAAGUGGCCUUUGUUUCCUUCCCACUGAGUAAGCUCCUCAGGGCCAGGAAUGGCAAGGAAGCUAGCUAGGUGGGAGGGGAGGAAAGAGAAAGGUAUCAAGACAGAAGCACAGAAGUGCAUGACAGAUUUGAGUUGAUGGGCAAAACUCUCAAAAAUCUAAAUCUGAUGCUUAUGGGGUUGACUGAAUUAGGGAGCUUGCUACUAGAAUUAGGGGGUUACUUUGAAUCUAUCCAGUAGAAUCAUUUAACUUAGAUCUAUGCAAAUAGAGCUCCACUAAAGGACCAGGAGGAGGAGCCAACCUUGCCUUUUUUUAAUGUGAUUUUGUUUACAAAAUUUUACUGGGACUUUUAAAUCUAGCUAUAGAGUUGGAAAAAAUACUUCCACUUUGAUGUUUUAUAUGGUUAUGUUUAAAAUUGCCAUUACUCGUUUUUUAAAAGCACAUGACUACAUAUAUAUAUAUAUGUAUAUCUACCUAAACUUUGUAUCAGUUUAUCGAAUUCAGUGUAUUGAUCAUGUGUUACUGGGAGAUGCUAAUAAGAAAUCAAUCCAAAGAAAAAAUUGAAAGAUGCAUUCCUAUUUAUAGAAUAAAUAACUUUCAUUUAUAUAAAAGCAGAAGAACUUAACAGUUCUAAUAAAUGGAAUGUGUAAUAAAUUAUGAAGUUACCAAUUUGAAUAUAUUGUACUUUUAUAACUUCCCUUGCCAAAGUCCUGGGCUUAGUACAUUGGAGAACUUGUUUUCUUCCCCCUCUAUUGCCAUUCCUCUAUCUUAUGGCUACAUUCACUAGGGGCUGUUACUUAGAAUCAAAAAAUAUAAAGGGAUAUAACAAGCUUGGCCAAAAUAUUUUUUUAUUUUUUGUUCCUAAUUUGGUAAUUUAGCAGCAUGAUUUUAUUUUGGGUUCUUUGUCCAGAUGUCAACAGUGACUAAUACCUGUAUGAUAAAGCCUAAUGACCCAAAAAAAUACCAUUGGGCCUUCCUAACAAAUUGACAGAGAAAAGUCUGACCCAAAGAAAGCAGGUCUGAAUUUUAUAAAGGGUAAAAUUUGUAGAGGGAAUUGGACAAGUCUUUGUAUAUCUCAACUUUGCAGGUACCUUUCUAAAGUAUGAAACAGAGUAACAGCUCAAAGUUGCCUUUCAUCCAGAAUAGAGAUGUUUCAGAACAUAUUUUAAGAGAAUGUUUCAUGAAUACACCUACACCCUUUCUUUGAAAGUUAGCAACUAAUUACAUCCACAACUUUGAACAAGUUCUAUACUAAAAUCUUUAACUGUGGAAAAUCAUGAAAAUGAGCAUUUCCUUCCCUUGAAAUCAGAGCUCACGUGUGUUUUUCCGUAAGACUUCCAAAUAAAUAUAUUCAAGAGGCAAUACAGUAUUUUAACAUUCACAUAUCAUUUUAUAUUGAAAUGUAUUACAGUAUUAAAAUUCAGUGUUCUGUAUUUAUUUCACUAUGCAUUUUAUUUAGCAAAAGCCAAGAAAAAUAUUUAAUCCAAUGGUGCCUUACUUUGUGAUUUGAAAGAAAUCAACUUUUUAUGUCUAAGUAGCAGAUUAUUUGCAUAUUUGUAAAAACUGUUAGACCUUUAUCUUUUAACUUGUAAUACCAAUUUUGUUAUUUUAGUAGCCGAAAUGAAAUAGUUAUUAAAGUGCCCUAACAUUUUGGUAUGAAAUUAAUUUUCCCCUGUUUAUAGUCAGGGACUAUAGAAGAAUAAAAAUAUUUUUUUCAUAUCAUUGCACUGUGUAAACAGACACAUCUUGGUAUCUGUGUCAUCAGGAUAGUUUAAAUGGUAGGGUAGAAUCUACCCUAGACAUCUACGUCUUUGUAAGUUAGCCAGACAAUAAAUAAAAGCAGAAUGAUACAGUGUC
ensembl:lncRNA